rnacentral:rRNA from 1 species
AUUACUCCUACGGGAGGCAGCAGUGGGGAAUAUUGCACAAUGGGGGAAACCCUGAUGCAGCAACGCCGCGUGAGUGAAGAAGGUCUUCGGAUUGUAAAGCUCUGUCUUUUGGGACGAUAAUGACGGUACCAAAGGAGGAAGCCACGGCUAACUACGUGCCAGCAGCCGCGGUAAUAAU